AGCACCUUCAUGUCCUUCUUGUAGCGAGGGGCCCAAAACUGAACACAGUACUCGAGGUGCGGCCUCACCAGAGCCGAGUACAGGGGGACAAUCACCUCCCUAGACCUGCUGGCCACACUGCUUCUUAUACAGGCCAGGAUGCUGUUGGCCUUCUUGGCCACCUGAGCACACUGCUGGCUCAUAUUUUUUCCUGCAUGUUUGUAGUGGGCAAUGGAUGUGGUAUAUGUUGGGGACUGCUGAUGUUCUAAUGAUGGUUGUGGUGAUUAUGACACCAAAUGCUGACAUAAUCAGCCUGCAGGAUGAUGCUCGUACAGAAAAGCCCAGCUUGGGUGGGAAAGACUCAGAAUGGCUCAGUUGCUGGAUGUUGGUCUGCAGCACUGCAGUAGCAAUGAUUAUAUUGGAGAAACAUCGUAUGCAGGGGCAGCAGCUGUCUACCCACUAGAUUACCAGCAUGCCUGCUUUUACCUCAACCUUGCUCUACUGUGGUUUUAAACAAGUUAUCAGAGGGAUCAUGCUCUUAUCUUUGCAUGUUUUGGGGAACUGUGAUUUUAUCUCCUCUGCCCAAUUUGUGUUUCUUCAUGACUACAAGGAAGUCACUUCAAGAUUAACUGCAAUGGCUGUUGGUGAAAUGAACUUUUGUACGAAGAAAGCACCUCACCAAAAGGCACUGCAAGGAGUAUGGUAGAUCUUGUGUGGAAAGGUGUAAGAAAUAUAUUACAUAGGGCCUAACUCUUUCCUUUGAAAAGAGUGAAUUCUAGUCUUUACCCUGUAACGGUAGAUGGAAAUGGGGAAUGUUCAGCAUAGGUUAGGACUGAGCCCUUACUGUCCAAAAUUGGUUAAACAGAUGAAAUGAUCAGAAGACUUACAAGGUUGCAUGGUUUUUUUUUCUCCACCUAUUUGAAUUGAUGAUGGGUUAUUGUGCCAUGCAAAGUAGCUUCAGCAAUUUUUCUGAGGGUUCAGUUAAUACUAGUUCUGCUUUCCCUACUGUCCUGGUUCCAGUUAGGACAGAGUUAAUUUUCCUCAUAGUAGCUGGUAGGGUGCUAUGUUUUGGAUUAGGAUGAGAAGAGCGCUGAUAACAUGCUGAUGUUUUAAUUGUUGCA
rnacentral:lncRNA from 1 species